GGAAACGAUGUGUGACACCCAGGCAGGCGUGCCCUCGGCCUAAUGGCUUCGGGCGCAACUUGCGUUCAAAGACUCGAUGGUUCACGGGAUUCUGCAAUUCACACCAAGUAUCGCAUUUCGCUGCGUUCUUCAUCGAUGCCCCAAGGUUGGUU
rnacentral:rRNA from 1 species